rnacentral:lncRNA from 1 species
AAGGUGACUUCCUGAUUCUAGUAUUGUGGGAUGUGAUAAAUAGGUAGGUAUUACUCUAGCUCUACCUUUCAUGAUUUUCAGACUUUCAUCAUAUCCUUUUCAGACCACAAAGUCCCGCUGUUCCUAGCCUGUCCUCACACACGGCCCCUUCAUCCCUUUAUUGUAGCUGCUUUCCUCCAGCAGAUAGUCAUCUAAUACCACUGUCUUUUCUGAGGUGAACAACCAAAACUCUGUGUGUUGUACACAUGAAUGAGCUCUGGAAUUGGACAAAGAAAAGAAGCAAACAUUUUCAGCUUUCAAUGCCAUUAAAAAGACAAUUGAUACUUUGGCUCCAAAGAAGGAAAAUAGAUUUCAUCUUCUAUGCUAAUUCCUAUGAAUUGAGAGUGGCUUCCUGGGGCACUGUGUUGGGAUGAAUUCUGAGACUGCUUCCAGGCUCCAUAGGAAAGAGAACUGUGAUCAAUUAAGAAGUGGGGAGUCGCAGCAUGUGCGCCAUGCAUUUGGUAUCCACGACGAAACAGCAUUUGAAAAAAAUCAAUAAACACUGCAGGCUUACCGGAUAAGCCACCCACAUCCAUCUUCUUCAGGUUCUUUGCCUCCAGAAUGACAACAGUCAGCUUACCAGCAGUAGUGACCUCAGAGUGACCUUGGAAGCUACAUGCUGAAAUGCUGAAGAUGGCAGAGGUUCAGUGAGACAGGAUCCUUGAAGAUUUAAUAAAGCAGAGCCCUACCUGCCAAGACUUCUCUUUUGCAGAACCCAUUACGUGUUUGGGCCUAUUUGUUAUUGUAGCCUAGCCUGAAAUAAUUAAUACUAAUAAUAAAUAAAUGACUUCUAAACAGUGUUUUCAGAAGUAUAAUUAGUGAUCCACUUAAAAAUCUGUGGUUUGUAGAAAAUGAGUAAAGCUUAGUCUUAUAUGUCAAACCCUUAUGUUGGGUUUUCAAUAUGCCAGUCAUGCUACAAAGAACUAGAAACAAAGGAUGAUUAAAACAUGUCUUUGCCCUAAGAAGCUUUUUCAAUGCUGGCAUGAACAGGCAUAUAAACAAAAAUUCAACAUAAAAUUGUAGGUGUCAUUAUAGAAACAUGUAUUAG